rnacentral:lncRNA from 1 species
GUGCCGGCUCGUGACUAGAGCGCCUCAGUCUGCAGACUCGGGUAGCCAGCGUCGCUCUGCGCUCACACCGGAAAUCUGUCGAGGCUCAGACCAUGCAAACGGUCCUGUUUUUGUGCACAUUGCUGGUUUUGGCGAAGGGUCUGCAGUGUCGUCGUUAACAUUGAUCAUCACUGUCAACACUGCCAGAAACCAAUCUUCAGCUUCUAGACCUGGCCAGCCCCCCCACAGACUUCCCAGCUGGUAGCCAGGAGGAGAUCAACCGCUGUAUACAGCCCAACGCCAGCACCUGUGCUCUAGACUGGGCUGUCCUCGCGGCUUGGGCUCUGGAGCCACGUUCUUGGACCUGCGUCCUGAGACACCUCCUGCAUCCUCAGGCUUGCUCUCUGUCUGUGCCAAUCGGGAGCCUGAUUGGCCUUAUCAUCUCAUUGAGAAGAGUUUCGCCACUUCCCAACAAGACUGCAGAACAUGAAAUCAAGUGCACGCUUCAGAUCAUCAGCUGGGGAAAAGAAAAUGACGAUACCCAGGUGAUCGGCAGAGAUCCCAGUAGCCCCCCGGGGGGAGAGGACAAGGCAGCAGAGGGACCAGAGCUCCAGGGAGUCACAGUCAGGCCUGGGUGACCAGGGCUCAGGCAUGCGAGAGCAGCAGUGUGCCGUUAAGCCAAUGAGAAUCCUCCGUACUCAAUGCUCAUGACCUCUGACCUCCCUCUGCAUGAUUACUGCAGGGAGAGAGGUGGGGUGAGUGCCCAUCAAACCCCACGGUCUGCUCCACAUACUGAUCCCACUGGUAACAAUGAAAUGAGCAUGGGGAUAGUGAUAAUGGAUAUUUUGUCUUCUGGUUGACACCAGUUCUCUGGUCUCCUACCUUGGAGUAAGUUUGCCUGGUCUUCCUGUCUUUAAACCAGGAAGCUCAAGGGUCAGCUCUCUGCAGCGACUAGCCCACAAGCAAGAGACUUUUAAAGGCGCUGUAGUCAGUACUUUUACACAUACAGUAUACAAACCUGUAUAAGAUUAAGGGUUACCUUUGAAGGGCUUAAUUUUGGAAGAUAAGGUCAUGUGUUUAUGAACACAGGCAUAAAGAGGUUAGAGGGUUUUCGUUUUUUUUAAGGGUAUGGUUGACAAGACCUGCCCUUUGUAAGUGUGGAUUAGCCCUUUUAAAAGCUUUGGUUAGAGCAGUUAUUGGCGAAUAAUUUAGCCUGUCCUGUGACACACAGUCCAGGAGGUGUGUGAGGAGCCUGAAAUCAGGACUGCUCUCUCACAGCAGGAUCUGAAGGCUUGUCUGCCAGGGGUGUGUACAUCUGUAAGAGAAAGCAGGAGGCUCAGGGCGUAUAGCGUAACCUGCACGUCUCUACCGUGCUCGGUCACGUGAAAACAGUGCUGCAGUCAGUAACUGUGUCAUUAUGAGCCAAUUAACUGAGUUCUGUGAAUGCAGAAAUGUAGAAAUGCAAACUUCUAACUGCAGUAAACCCACUGGCUUCCCAUUUAUAGCUUUUUUUUUCUGGGAAAAAUGGGAGGAAUCUUUUUUUUUUAUUAUUAUUUUAUCCGUAAGCGCUUGACCGGGUCGGUGUUCUGCGUUCCGGGCUCGGGUCGUGGCGAAGUUUUGGCUCUUCCGCGAGCAAAGAAAUAAAACCGCCCUUUGCCGUCUCUUGACGUGCAGUCCAUGCCUUCCCAUCUCUCUCUUUCGGUUUUCCCCGACCGGAAAGAUGAGCCGCGUGGUAUUAUUUAUGAGGGGAGCCUCGUUGUUGCUCAAGUCCUCCGCCGGCGAGGAAACACCAUCGCUUCCUCAUUGAACCGGCACAAUAGGCUCCUGAAAUUCCAUAUGUCACUCGCUGACACCUAACAGCGCAGCAGAUUAGCCGAGAGCGGGUACAGACUGCCCGCCGCUACGUCUACAAACCGGGUCUUUUUGCUACAGAGCUGCGCGUAGUGCUACUGGCACGCAGGUCACAUCUGUCUGAUUUCCCCCGCAGAGAUCUAGGGACCUGGUCAGGGGCCGGUGAAGUGGUGACUGGCUGUUAACGGGUUGACGGCUAAAGCCUAGAAUGAUUACCAAUUACAG